GCCAGGAUAGCUCAGUUGGUUACAGCGUGGUCCUGAUAACACCAAAGUUGCAGGUUUGAUUGCUGCAUGGGGCA